AAACGUAGGGGGCGAGCGUUAUCCGGAUUUAUUGGGCGUAAAGCGCACGUAGGUGGCGCUGUAAGUUGGACGUGAAAGCUCUCGGCUCAACUGAGAGAGGUCGUUCAAAACUGCAGUGCUUGAGGUUGGAAGAGGAGAGUGGAAUUCCCGGUGUAGUGGUGGAAUGCGUAGAUAUCGGGAGGAACACCAGUGGCGAAGGCGACUCUCUGGUCCACACCUGACGCUGAGGUGCGAAAGCGUGGGGAGCGAACGGGAUUAGAUACCCCGGUAGUCC
rnacentral:rRNA from 1 species